rnacentral:tRNA from 1 species
GUCUUGGUGGUGAAAUGGUAAACACGCGAGAUUCAAAAUCUUGUGCUAAAGAGCAUGGAGAUUCAAGUCCUCUUCAAGGCA